CCAACCCCGUCUCCAUCAUCCCCAUUCUCCUCAUCCCCAUGGUCUCCACCUCCGUUUCCAACAUCCUCCUCACCCCCAUGGUCUCCAUCCCCGUCUCCAUCAUCCCCAUCCUCAUCCUCAUCCCCAUGGUCUCCAACCCCAUCUCCAUCAUCCCCGUUCUCCUCAUCCCCAUGGUCUCCACCUCCGUUUCCAUCAUCCUCAUCAUCCCCAUGGUCUCCAUCCCCAUCCUCAUACUCAUGUUCUCCAUUUCCAUGGUCUCCAUCAUCCCCAUCCUCCCCAUCCCCAUGGUCUCCAUCCAUCCUCAUCCCCAUCCCCACGGCCCCAUCUCCACCCCACUGCCUCCACCUCUUCUUCCAGGGCCUCCCAGGAGAGAGGGGUCUGGCCGGCCCCGAGGGGAAACCGGGCUUGCCAGGCUUCCCCGGCGUGCUGGGACGCCCGGUAGGUCCCCGUGUCCCCCUGCGUGUCCCCGUGUCCCCCUGCAUGUCCCUGUCCCCCUGGUUCUUGCCCCAUGGGCGCUUGGCACGGCGCAUCCUGGUGGGAUCUGGCGGUGCUUGUCCCUGCUUGGCGCGGGUGCCCAGAGCCACCGUGCAGCGGGGACCCGCUGCCCACAUCUCUUCCUCCCCCCCCAGGGCAACCAGGGAGAGCCGGGACCACCAGGACCUCCGGUAAGGGUCCCCCCCAGUGUCCCCGUUGUCCCCAUGCUGGGAUCGUGCUGUCCUGCCACCCCCUCCUCGUCCUGAGGAGCCGUGCCACCAGCGGGCACCACGAGGACGAAAUGUUCCCUUGUUCCCUGCAGGGCACCGCUGGCCCCCCGGGGACCCAGGGCCCAGCUGGGAUGAAGGUACAUCAUCAUCAUCAUCAUCAUCACCAUCACCAUCACCAUCAUCACCAUCACCAUAUUUGACCCCGCAGAGGAACGCGCGGUGCCCUGCAGGCACCAGGGGCUGUGGGGAAAAAUGAGGGGCUGGUCCCCUGCUGGAGCCAGCCGCUGGGGGGCUCAGGGGACAUGGGGACAUGGUGGCAGGGCUGUUGGGGUGGUGGGACCGACGCGGGUGCUGUCUCCACAGGGUGACCCCGGGGAGCCUGGUGCCAGCAUCCGGGUGAGCCUCCACUCCCCCCCACCCGGUCCCUGACCCCAAAUCCCUUCCCAGGGGACAGAUGACGUCCCGGCGAGAUGUCCCAGCGU
rnacentral:lncRNA from 1 species